UGGAUGAUGUGGAUUAAUUCGAUGCAACGCGAAGAACCUUACCUGGCCUUGACAUCCCGGGAAUUCCUGGAAACAGGAGAGUGCUUUCAUUAGAGAGAACCUGGAGACAGGUGCUGCAUGGCUGUCGUCAGCUCGUGUCGUGAGAUGUUGGGUUAAGUCCCGCAACGAGCGCAACCCUUGCCUUUAGUUGCCAGCAGUUCGGCUGGGCACUCUAAAGGGACUGCCGGUGUCAAACCGGAGGAAGUGGGGAUGACGUCAAGUCCUCAUGGCCUUUAUGGCCAGGGCUACACACGUACUACAAUGGCCGGUACAAAGGGCAGCGACAUUGCGAGAUGGAGCGAAUCCCGAAAAGCCGGUCUCAGUCCGGAUUGGAGUCUGCAACUCGACUCCAUGAAGUUGGAAUCGCUAGUAAUCGUGGAUCAGCAUGCCACGGUGAAUACGUUCCCGGGCCUU
rnacentral:rRNA from 1 species